UCACAUAAAGAAACACUGGGAAGGAAGAGAAACUCAAAACUAAUUAAGGUGCUCACCUGGUGAGGAGACCAUAGCCAGCGCCCUUUGUGUCCAGGUGUUUGUUGUACUUCUUGUCUUGAGACACCAAUGUGCUAGGACUGGAGCAGCCACCGUACUUUCUUAGCACUCUUUCGAUCUUGGGGGACUAUUUUACGUUAUCCAAACACGCAAUAGUUUUUCCAGGCAGCUUAAUCACACUGCCCUGAUCGUUUGAGUAGCCAAUGUCUGCACUUAGCCUCAUGAAAAUGAUGGUGAAAGUCCCAGCCAGAACUGUGCAAAGAAGCACGCUAAUGCGCUGAUGGAUCGGCGUCAUGGAGCAAGUGUCCCUGAGCGCCAACGAGGGCGUUGCCCAGUCUCCAUUCUGACCCCUCAGCUUCCGUCCAGAUGUCUCUAGCAGCUGCACAACUUUACUGCCAGUGAGGAAGAUGCAUUUUUAGGACCGAGCGAGUGGAGUGGCAGCUACGGUUGGACACCGGAGUCAUUGGAAGGAGGCCUGUGCCAACGUGGAACAGGGAGCCCCACUUCCUCUGUGGUACCAGGGCCAGUCCCCAAGCUGCUGAGAAACUAGACUGAAAGCCUCAGAAAUGGAGCAGGGAUGUCAGCUGCCGGAUACCCAGGAAGUCAGAAGACAGCCUCGAGAGCUCAGCGUUCUCUACACACGAGUCUGACUAAAACACUGAAUUUUCCUUUCUAGUCUGUCCCAGAAGAGGGGCAGCUGUGCGUAGAAUAAAUUACAGGGCUAGAUAUGGCAUUCAAGAUGAUUGAUUUCUUAUCAUUACUUCUGAAGAAUGGUUUCCACACAAAUCAAUUUGCUUUGGCAAAUGCACAGCUAAGAUAAAAUACACAGCUUAGCUGGCAAAUACUUAGCUAAUAUAGCUGGCAGCUGCCCAGCUCUCAAAAUGAAAACAAUAAAAUCUGAGAGCUUUUCUCAGAAGGUCCCCCCUCCCGUAUCUAUAAUGCAAUAAUGUUUCAUGACAUUUUCCUAGGUGUAUAUCCCAGCACUAGCACUUGGUGUUCCAGUCAACAUUCCUUUGAAUCACCUAUUUGCUUUCUUAGGUUCUAAAAGAAAGAAUUCAUUUGAAGAUUUUUUUAAUAACAAUAACCUCAGUUUUGUUAUUUUCAUUAAUGCAGUUAUUCUGUACUAGUUUCUUGGAUCCUGGAAAGGUAGGUUU